AGCUGUGUAAUGUUUCAUCUUUUUGCUUUGAUUGGCACUUUUUUAAUUGUUAACACUCUUUUCAAACUGGCAACACAUUGCCUCAUUCUAAUCUGCAGUGAGCCCAACUGUAUUACAAGCACUCUCGGGAACAACACACCACCAAGACAUUUUGUAGACACGGUUGAUCCAGGCAGAAGAAAUCUCAGGUUGUGGUGACUAAACAUAUCCUGGAACUACUUGUAUGUAAAAGUUUCCACCUCCCUCCUGAGGGAUCCAUAUAAUUUUUCUGGAUGAUGUUGCUGAAGUGACCAGAUCAUUUGCUAUUUCUCAUUUAUUUAUACAGGCUUCUAUGUCAGGAUGCUUCAUCUGCAGAACAUCAAGAAAGGGAAAAGCUCUCUCUUAGAUCAUGAAAAGUUUAACAGCCAGUGCCACAGAUGACUUCUUCUGGAGUUCUGCAAAAGGGAUACAGACAGCCAGGUGACAGAACAAGAGCUGUGCUGCAAUGAUUGGGGAGGAUAAAAUGAAAAGAGGACUGUAAGAAUGUGUCCAAAUUCCUCUAUGAAAAGACAUCUCAGCAAAGGAGAUGAUCUCUGCUUGAUCACAGAUCUUGUUUUUCCAGUACUGGGACUGGGAGGUUGCUGACUUCCUAGAGAAGUUUAGGAGUGCAGUCAGCUUUCUCUGAAUGGUCAUGGGAGAGUCAGUGGACACUUCUGAAAUCCAGGGCAAUUUGAAAUAGAAAGGUCUUUCAGUUGCUUGACAAAUGUUAUGAGAGUCCAGAGGGUUAGACAAUAUGUCAGGUGGGAAGCACUGUUAGUUCCAAACAGUUUUACAAGAAAUCUAAACCAUAAAAAUCCAAAUUCUGUGCAUAAGUAAUACUAUACAAUUGAGUCUAGUAAGCAUUUAUAGCACUUUGUGCCUCAGGCGUCUUGUGAACUAAAAAAGAUCAAAGGCUGAGUGCCCUCAGCACUCAGUCAGACCCUCAAGAAGGGGUCCAAUAUCCCUCCUAGUUGAUGGCUGCCUCACAGGAAACACUGAACAGCUUGAAGAAUAGGGCCCCAAAUGCAUAUUUGGCACCCAGUUAAAUUCUAGAGUAAGUAUUUAGUAUUUUUUUAAUCAGCAUUUGCUAUGUCCCAGAAUAAAC
rnacentral:lncRNA from 1 species